GACGAACGCUGGCGGCGUGCUUAACACAUGCAAGUCGAACGGUAAGGCCCUUCGGGGUACACGAGUGGCGAACGGGUGAGUAACACGUGGGUGAUCUGCCCUGCACUUCGGGAUAAGCCUGGGAAACUGGGUCUAAUACCGGAUAGGACCACUGCCUGCAUGGGUGGUGGUGGAAAGCUUUUGCGGUGUGGGAUGGGCCCGCGGCCGAGCAGCUUGUGGGUGGGGUGAUGGCCUACCAAGGCGACGACGGGUAGCCGGCCUGAGGGGGUGGCCGGCCACACUGGGACUGAGAUACGGCCCAGACUCCUACGGGAGGCAGCAGUGGGGAAUAUUGCACAAUGGGCGCAAGCCUGAUGCAGCGACGCCGCGUGAGGGAUGACGGCCUUCGGGUUGUAAACCUCUUUCAGCACCGACGAAGCGCAAGUGACGGUAGGUGCAGAAGAAGGACCGGCCAACUACGUGCCAGCAGCCGCCGUAA
rnacentral:rRNA from 1 species